rnacentral:rRNA from 1 species
GACGAACGCUGGCGGCGUGCUUAACACAUGCAAGUCGAACGGAAAGGCCCUGCUUUUGUGGGGUGCUCGAGUGGCGAACGGGUGAGUAACACGUGAGUAACCUGCCCUUGACUUUGGGAUAACUUCAGGAAACUGGGGCUAAUACCGGAUAGGAGCUCCUGCUGCAUGGUGGGGGUUGGAAAGUUUCGGCGGUUGGGGAUGGACUCGCGGCUUAUCAGCUUGUUGGUGGAGUAGUGGCUGACCAAGGCUUUGACGGGUAGCCGGCAUGAGAGGGUGACCGGCCACAUUGGGACUGAGAUACGGCCCAGACUGCUACGGGAGGCAGCAGGGGGGAAUAUUGCACAAUGGGCGGAAGCCUGAUGCAGCAACGCCGCGUGCGGGAUGACGGCCUUCGGGUUGUAAACCGCUUUCGCCUGUGACGAAGCGUGAGUGACGGUAAUGGGUAAAGAAGCACCGGCUAACUACGUG